UACAGGGGGUGCAAACGUUGCUCGGAAUCACUGGGCGUAAAGGGCUCGUAGGCGGCCAACUAAGUCAGACGUGAAAUCCCCAGGCUUACCCUGGGAACUGCGUCUGAUACUGGAUGGCUUGAAUUCGGGAGAGGGAUGCAGAAUUCCAGGUGUAGCGGUGAAAUGCGUAGAUAUCUGGAGGAAUACCGGUGGCGAAGGCGGCAUCCUGGACCGACAUUGACGCUGAGGAGCGAAAGCUAGGGGAGCAAACGGG
rnacentral:rRNA from 1 species